rnacentral:snRNA from 1 species
UCAGCUUGAAUACAACCA